rnacentral:lncRNA from 1 species
UUCAAAUCAUCCCUCAAUGAUUCCCCUCAUCUGGUCUGGUUCUGACGUAGCCUGAAACUCACAGAAUUCUACAAGAGGACAUCCUCCAAAGAAAUUGUAGGGUUUUGAUUCUUUAGCUGAAUGAGCAAAGCAAUAUCAACUCAACUACGAGAUUUACAGAUUUCAGAAACUUUCCUAAUACGAUCCAUGACUACAGGAAUAUCAUUUUCGCUCAGGGUGGUGAAGCAUAAUCUGAACCAACCAGGUUCAAUACAGUGACAGGAAGAUCCGGGAGUAACAUUAACCUUACCCACACUCAAAAGCUUAUCCCAAAGCUCAAGUUCUCCUUUUUCAUUAUAAGAUCUGAUUAGCCCACUCAUGUCCAUCCAACAGUAGAAACCUCCAUUACUCUUCAUGCACUCAAUUCCCAACUGCUUUAGUCCGGUAACAAAUGCAUUGUACAUCCUUUCAAGUCUUUCCCGAUUAUUCUUCAUAAACAAGUGGAUGAAUUUUGUGUCUGCCAGCAUUGAGAUAAGCAAACGCUGGCUUGGAGCUGAAAUGGAUGAAAAUCUUGCCAACUUUUUAGCAGCAGCCAAAACAUUCUCAUUAAAAGUAUAAAUAACUCCAACCCUAAAGCCUGGAAGAGAGAGAUCCUUCGAAAGACCAUACACUAUAUGGACUCUUGUCCGAUCAAAAUCUUCAGAAUCAAUUAUCUCUGCCAAACUGACAAAAUCUUCACUUCCAUGAGUGGAUCCUGCCAAUAUUUCAUUGGAAAUGAGGUGAAUAUUCUUCUCUGUUGCAAAGUCCAAAAGACUAUAAAGUGUCUCUCGAUUGAACAAAUUGCCCACAGGAUUUGAAGGGUUCGAAAUUAUGAUCCCACGAACUUUAAGCCCCCGUUUCCUUGCUUGGUUAAAGGUUCGAUCAAGAGCAGUAGUACUCAGACAGAAAUUGUCAGCACUGCGGCAAGGUAUGGGUAUAAUUUCGACACCUGUUCGCCAUUUUACAUCCCUGUCAAGACUGGACCAUAACUUAUGACAUCAGUGCCUGGACAAAAGAAGCUGAUGACCAGAGAUAAAUAUUCUGUGAACAGUCAAUUAAUCUUACUCGGGAUAAUAUGGUGAUGGAACAAGAAAUGCAUUUCCAGGAUCAGCUAAGCAGAAACUGAGAAUUUCAAUUGCAGGGGUUGCACCAGCUGUCAAAACAAUUUGUGAAGGGUUGAAGGAUACUGAUUUGUCCAUUACUUGAGACAUGAAUCCAGCUACUGCCUAUAAGACUAGUGAAAUCAGCAUAUACAGCAACAAGAUAAAAAGCAAGUCCAAGCACCGUACACAUGAUUGCAAGUCAGCUAAUUGAAGAGACAAAUUGGAUAUCCUAAUAGCUGGAAGCUAUAAGAGCUACGCCUAGAGCCAAAAGUAAGCUAUAAGAGCUACGCCUAGAGCCAAAAAGUCAAACUUUAUCCGAGUCCAUGUUAAUAGUAACCUGUGGACUUAUUGCCCGAAUAAUUACGUUUAAGACUCCAAAAGUGGCAGGGGGAGAGAAAGUGCUACUACAAGAAGCAGAAACAUAUUCAAAACUAUCAUCUUUUAACUAAAGUGAGUUAGCAACUAGUGUUCAUUAAGCACAUCUGUCAAUAUCAUAAUUAUGCAGACACAGUACUUUGGUUAGGACACUCAGUAAUGUCAAAGCCAUUAUUUACAAGUGACAAGUCACAUACAACAAAUUGUAGUGACCAAACUUGUAAUUCAUUGUUUGAAAACCACAAUUGAUGGGACCAUUCCAAAAGAAUUUGGGAGUAUUGAAUGGCUCCAAGCUCUGGAUCUGCAUAAUCUGGGCAUCAGUGGUGAGAUACCAGAUGAGAUAACCAACUGCAGAUUUCUUCGUGAGCUGUGAGUCCAAUUUUUCUAUCCAAUUCUCUGUCUAAAUUAUCCAUAUUGCUUUCACUCUGUGUUUGAAUGGACUUUGUAAUGUUGCUGCAGGGAUGUUUCUGGAAACUCGUUACGGGGCAGCAUACCGCAAAACCUCUACAACAUGUCAUACCUUGUAAUUCUUGACCUACGUAGCAACCAGCUUAAUGGGAGCAUACCAUCCACACUUGGAAAUUUGUCUAACUUACAUUCUUUAGAUUUGUCACAAAAUAUUUUAUCAGGACAAAUCCCUUCUAGUCUGGGAAAUUUGAAAAAUUUGACUCACUUCAAUGUCUCUUAUAAUAACCUUUCUGGGGCUAUUCCUUUGGUACAAAGCAUCCAAGGAUUUGGAUCUUCAGCCUUUUCAAAUAAUCCAGGCCUCUGUGGUGCUCCAUUGGAGACAUCAUGUGCACCCAAUGGCACCAAAACUGAAACAGGAAAGCCAAAGUUGAGCCCUUCAGCCAUUGUUGCUAUUGUUGCAGCUGCUGUGAUCCUCACAGGUGUCUGUGUGAUAACAGUGAUGAACAUCAAGACUCGCAGGGGGAGACGAGAAGAUGAAGCAGUGGUUGUAGUAGAAAGCACUCCACUGGCAUCAACAGAUUCAAAUGUCAUAAUCGGAAAGUUGGUUCUGUUCAGCAAGGCUUUGCCCUCAAAGUAUGAAGAUUGGGAGGCUGGUACUAAAGCAUUGCUGGAUAAGGAGUGUCUAAUUGGUGGGGGUUCCAUUGGAACAGUGUACAAAACUACUUUUGAGGGUGAGAUCUCUAUUGCUGUGAAGAAGCUUGAGACCUUGGGAAGAAUCAGAAACCAAGAUGAGUUUGAGCAAGAAAUUGGAAGAUUGGGAAAUCUUCGACACCCAAAUCUUGUUGCUUUCCAAGGUUACUAUUGGUCCUCCAGUAUGCAGUUAAUUUUAUCUGAAUUUGUUCCAAAUGGAAAUCUGUAUGAUAAUUUACAUGGGCUUAGUUAUCCUGGAACCAGCACCGGUGCUGGUAAUCCUGAAUUAAACUGGUCAAGGAGGUUUCAGAUAGCCUUGGGUACUGCCAGAGCCCUAGCCUACCUUCAUCAUGACUGCAGACCUCCUGUUCUUCAUCUCAAUGUCAAGUCCACUAACAUUCUCCUUGACGACAACUAUGAAGCUAAAUUGUCCGACUAUGGUUUGGGGAAGUUACUUCCUCUGCUGGACAAUUUUGGGCUAACCAAUUUUCACAAUGCAGUUGGUUAUGUUGCACCUGAGUUAGCUCAAAGUCUCAGACUAAGUGAUAAAUGUGAUGUUUACAGUUUUGGCGUAAUUAUGUUAGAAUUAGUUACUGGAAAGAAACCUGUGGAAAGCCCGGCAGCAACUGAGGUGGUGAUUUUGUGUGAAUAUGUUAGGGAUUUGAUAGAAAGGGGUACUGCUUCAGACUGUUUCGAUAGAAGUUUGCGUGGUUUUGCAGAAAACGAGCUGAUUCAGGUUAUGAGAUUGGGAUUAAUUUGUACUUCUGAAGUGCCUACCAGGAGGCCAAGCAUGGCUGAGGUAGUUCAGUUUCUUGAGUCCAUCAGAAAUGGUUUAGGCUUAUAGCAAGUCAACAGAAAGAACUGUUGGACAACCAUGGCAUUCAGAGUACAUGUGGGGUGAUUAGGAGUUUAACUUUUUCAGUAUAAAGAUACAAAAGAUUCUUUUGUAUUCAUUUUGUGAUUCAUCAUCAUCAAUUGUUCCCUGUAAUUCUGCAAUAAAUUCAUUCGUUUUUUUAUCAUCUCUCGAUGCAAUCAGAGAAGAGUUUGUAGCAACUCAUUCUCUUCCAUCUGCUUUUAACUCAGCAUUUCUAUACUGGUACAUAAACUGCUUUCCUAGACUCCUAAUAUCAAUACUAACAUCUUCUUAAGCCGAGGGUUACCAGCUUCUUCACUGGGAUAUAUGUUUUUAUCUCAUUGCCCUGUGGAUUUAGUUCCAAGAAUACGUAGGCAAGGAAGAUGCUAUUUGCUGCAAAAUGCUCCGUUUCUGCAUCAAGCUUGAAGAUGUCAAUUUAUAGUGAAGAAAUGAAAGCGCUUGGUUGUUUUUAUCAUAUUUGGUCAUCCCGUGGACACCAGAAUUUCCACUACUUUGAGUGAGAAGGAGAUAGUAAUUAAUCACUUUAACUCAAUUGUUGCACAAAAUUGAUUGCAGAGGAAAGAGAGUGACAUAACCAAUUCUCUGUCCUAGACAAAUGUAAGAGUUCUUCUAAACUUAUUAUUACUACCAGAAAAAGGUCGUGACUUGCUUUUUGCAUCAGCAUUAAAUGACCUAUUUACAAUUUCAGAUAUUUAAGGCAAAUAAACUCUUCGAUUUUGCAAUAGCAGAAUGAAGAAACCUACUAAGACACAUCAAGGCCUUGUAGACACUCAGCUCAUGAGUACAUGAUACUGUUCAGGCGUGCCAGAAAUGUUUUGACUCCGAGUUCCUGCCAGAACUGUUCCUGUCAGCUCAUGAGUAUCUCCAUCUCUGAAAUGAACGGAAGACACUUCAUCUUUAAACAGCCAGAACUGCAGACAAAACCAGAUCAUCAAAUGCAGCACGGGUCUCCAAUUCUAAGUUCCUCCACCAAUUGUUCCCAAACAAUCUGAUAUCUUCAAAUCAUCCCUCAAUGAUUCCCCUCAUCUGGUCUGGUUCUGACGUAGCCUGAAACUCACAGAAUUCUACAAGAGGACAUCCUCCAAAGAAAUUGUAGGGUUUUGAUUCUUUAGCUGAAUGAGCAAAGCAAUAUCAACUCAACUACGAGAUUUACAGAUUUCAGAAACUUUCCUAAUACGAUCCAUGACUACAGGAAUAUCAUUUUCGCUCAGGGUGGUGAAGCAUAAUCUGAACCAACCAGGUUCAAUACAGUGACAGGAAGAUCCGGGAGUAACAUUAACCUUACCCACACUCAAAAGCUUAUCCCAAAGCUCAAGUUCUCCUUUUUCAUUAUAAGAUCUGAUUAGCCCACUCAUGUCCAUCCAACAGUAGAAACCUCCAUUACUCUUCAUGCACUCAAUUCCCAACUGCUUUAGUCCGGUAACAAAUGCAUUGUACAUCCUUUCAAGUCUUUCCCGAUUAUUCUUCAUAAACAAGUGGAUGAAUUUU